UUGAAAUUUAGAGUAUUUCACUUUAGUAGUAUUAGAUAUAAUCUUGAAACUUAAAGAAUUUGGCGGUAUUUUAUUCUGGUUAGAGGAAUCUGUUUUGUAAUCGAUAAUCCACGUUAUACCUUACUUAAUUUAUUUAUUUAUAUAUCGCCGUUGUGAAGAUCUUUUUAGGGUUAAAUUUUCUGUAAAUAAUUUAUUAUAAUAUUUCAGGUCAAGGUGUAGUUUAUAAUUAAGAUGAUAAUGGAUUACAAUGUGAAUAUAACAUAUGAAUUAUUUAUUGUAAUAUGGAUAUGAAGGUGGAUUUAAUUGUAAUUUUAUAUAUAUAUUGUUAAUAUGAUAUUGCUCUAAAAUAUGU
rnacentral:rRNA from 1 species